rnacentral:rRNA from 1 species
GGCUGAAAUUCGCCUUCAUGAAGCCGGAAUUGCUAGUAAUGGCAGGUCAGCAUACUGCCGUGAAUACGUUCCCGGGCCUUGUACACACCGCCCGUCACACCAUGGGAGCCGGUAAUACCCGAAGUCAGUAGUCCAACCUCGUGAGGACGCUGCCGAAGGUAGGAUUGGCGACUGGGUGAAGUCGUAACAAGGUAAC